rnacentral:rRNA from 1 species
GGCCACCGGCUUGCGGUUGCCUCUCGGUUAUACCCUUGUCCGGUGGUCCUCCUCGCGGGGACGCCGUGGGCCUUUGCUGGUUUGCGGAUGUGAACCGUGACGUUUACUUUGAGAAAAUUAGAGUGUUCAAAGCAGGCCGCCGUGCCUGAAUACGUUAGCAUGGGAUAAUAGAAUAGGACCGCGGUUCUAUUUUGUUGGUUACCAUAGGACCGCAGUA